rnacentral:rRNA from 2 species
UAGCCCAAACCAAUAAAGUUUUCUUUAUUGGGGUUGCGGACAUAUCUUAAACGAAGAGGUAUCGUAAUUGAAGAGGUUUGGAAAGACCCACCAUAGAAGGUAAUAGUCCUGUAUGUCAAACGAGAAAGCUUCAGAUAUGAUCCAGAGUACCACGGGACACGUGAAACCCUGUGGGAAGCAGGAGGGACCACCCUCCAAGGCUAAAUACUACCUAGUGACCG